ACACAAACACAGACUCUGGUGAACCCCAGGAGGUAUAGACUUUUACCACCAACACAGACUCUGGUGAACCCCAGGAGGUAUAGACUUUUACCACCAACACAGACUCUGGUGAACCCCAGGAGGUAUAGACUUUUACCACCAACACAGACUCUGGUGAACCCCAGGAGGUAUAGACUUUUACCACCAACACAGACUCUGGUGAACCCCAGGAGGUAUAGACUUUUACCACCAACACAGACUCUGGUGAACCCCAGGAGGUAUAGACUUUUACCACCAACACAGACUCUGGUGAACCCCAGGAGGUAUAGACUUUUACCACCAACACAGACUCUGGUGAACCCCAGGAGGUAUAGACUUUUACCACCAACACAGACUCUGGUGAACCCCAGGAGGUAUAGACUUUUACCACCAACACAGACUCUGGUGAACCCCAGGAGGUAUAGACUUUUACCACCAACCCUGACUCUGGGUUAACCCUUUACUGUAUCAGCCCUGAGUUGGCUAGCCAAGUGCUGGGUUUACCCUCAACUUGGCCUUUGGUUGCAGUUAGUGUUUGGUUAGCUGGAUUAGUUAGUACUGCGUUAACUCUCUCUAGCCCUCAUGUUGUAUCGGCCUUCAUUUUAAACUCAUUUUUUUGUUUCCCACAAAAACAACUUCUGUGAGUCCUCAAAACAAGGCUUCAGUAAAAAGCCCAUUAGAAACAGCAGAUUUUAUAAAUCAGCCUGGUUUCAGUGGGAUGGGAUCGGCUGCUGUUAAAUUGGUAAGUAUGCAAUGUGCCCUACGCACGGAGAGAGAGACGCAUUGAAGAGCUGGGUUACUGUGGUGGAGGGGAAGGAUGAUUUGAUACCAAUGUGUCCUGCCCUUGUUAUUGCUCUAUGUUGGUUAACAGAGAAGGAGAGAGAGAGGGAGAAAAAGAGAGAAGGAGAAUGUUGACUGUGUACUUUGUGAGAAUCAGAGAGUUUUUCAGACAGACGUCUUUCUGUUGUGUCUGCAGAUACACAGUCACCUCAGAGGCCAGGAGAGAUGUUGCUGGGUUCUGGUCUAGUGGCUGGCCUUAAGACAGGUGUGUGUGUGUGUGUGUGUGUGUGUGUGUGUGUGUGUGUGUGUGUGUGUGUGUGUGUGUGUGUGUGUGUGUGUGUGUGUGUGUGUGUGUGUGUGUGUGUGUGUGUGUGUGUGUGUGUGUGUGUGUGUACUGUAUGUACAUAUAAGUAUAUGAUAUGCAUGCACGUGAAUAUAUGGGUAGAUACUCUCCGGUCUAAAACAAACCUUUAACAGUAGAGCAGAGUUAGCCACCAGUCUCCACUUGAAUUUAUACUCUUGUUUAUUCUCUUUCUGAGAUGACCACAGACUGACUACUGCUUAUCCUGCUGCAUCCCACAGAACAGACAGGGGAGAGUGGGAGGGGGUGAAGAGAGAGGGGAGGUAGAGGAGAGAGAGUGUGUGAGGUAGAGACAGAGAGAGACAUAGAGAGGAGAGGUGGUGAAGGAAAGACACGAGACAGAGUAACAUCCACUAUGUCUGGCUCUUGGGCCGUUAGUGGUCAGUGUGGUUGAGAUAACUCCAGGUCUCCACAGCCAGCCCAGCCCAGGGGUUAUGGUUGAUCUGUAUAGACUAGACAAAGGGGGGCAAGGUAUACUCUUUGCACUACGAUUUUUGGGUUCUUAGAGGGUUCUUCAAAGGGUUCUACUAUGGGGACAGCCGAAGAGGUUAGGGUUCUAUAUAGCACCUUAUUUUCUAUGAUUGUAGAGGUAAGGAGACAGAGUGGCAGAGAGAGAAAAAGAAAGAGAGAAAGGGAAUGAGAGAGAGGUGCAGAGCAGUUUGUAGUCAGGGGGCGUUCCAGGGCAGCCAGCUCCGCAGGGCUGCAAUUAUAGACAUUUUCUUCCAAAGAGGAGCACCACUUCUUCCAUAACUGCUUAUCUGACGCUCUCACACAGUGCACUCUAUCUCAUAUACACAGAGAGCCUUCUUCUAAUGUAUCUCCAGAACAUUGUGUGGUAACAGAAAAGGCCUCUUUAUCUGUGAUGUCUUCUCUUUGACCUAGAACAUUUCCACCUCGUUUUAAAGUUACGUCAUGCUGGGGUACUAGUAGGGGGUUGUGGGAGUGUACCGGAUACUGUAUGAGUGGUGGGUUGUGUGAGCGUAUGGGUACGAAUGUGAGUGUGUGGGUACGUGUGGUGGGUUGUGUGAGUGUGGGUACGAAUGUGAGUGUGUGGGUACGUGUGGUGGGUUGUGUAAACGUGUGGGUACGAAUGUGAGUGUGGUGGGGCUGUGUGAGUGUGUGGGUACGUGUGGUGGGUUGUGUAAGU